AAUUGAGUAAAUUUCGCGGCUAAAGUGAUCACGUGUGCAGCUCUGCAGGAAAAAAAAAAAAAAUCUGCUUUCCUCAGCAGCGACGUCGACUAGCCAUACACCUCACAACUCCUGGUAAGUAACGUUAGUCAGCUAAUCCUACUUACGUUUGUAACACUUUAUUAAAAAGUUAAUAAUUAUUAAGCAUUUCCUAACAAUUGUCUUUGUAUUUUACGUCAUAUUCAACAAGUUUCGUAGCUUAAUCGAAGUCACCUGAAGGACGGCUUUCCUCAGCAACGGCAAGGCCCGCACUCCUCUCAUAUUGUGAAGUUUAACAAGUUUCGCGGCUCAAACAAGAGGCACCUGUCACUGAAGGACUGCUUUUCUCAGCUACGACGUGAACAGCAUCACUCGAAUUUCCUGGUUCAGCUGAUCUACCCAUCUUCGUACAAGCAGAGUUGGCAGAGGAGGUCAUAAAAAUCUACAUCCUUCGGGACAAUGAUGGGGCAGUCAGCGAUGUAAUCUUGGGAAUCACAGCAGAGCCUGCUGCCAUCUUUUGGGAGUCACAUUGGAUUUGAGAUAUCCCAAGACCCACAAAUACAGGUCUUUCUCCAAAAAUUAGCAUAUUG